AUUUUAGGGACCCCAAAAUUAACCAGUUAGUUUGACCCCAAAAAGCCUCCUCUCUUCAUCUCUAUCGUUUCCGUUUCAGCUUCUUGAAGAAUUGAUCAUCGUUUUCCCCAAGGUACCCUUUAAGCCAUAUCUUUGCCCCAUGCUUCACCAGAUAGAUUUGCUCUUUCCUCUUCAAACCCUCCGUUGCUAGGAUGUGAGCCAACCCAUUAUUUCUUUCUCUAGUAGUGUAUGAGAAACAAUAGGUAUGGAAAGCUUCCUUCAGUUUUUUGAUAUCUUCGAUGCAGGCACAAAUCACUGGUUCAUCUCUCUUGAUGAAAUUUGUUUUUUAUUAUUGUGAGAGCAUCUCCCUCAAUCUCAACCCUUUGGAGUCCAAGAUCUAUUCCCAUCUGUGUCACCUGGAGACAUGCAACUGCCUCUGUCGCAAACACCAAUGAAAUAUGUUUGUUUAUUAUUAUGUUCGAGCCUACCACCGUCCUUUCAGGCCUUCACACUAUUAGUCUCGUACAAGACUCUUUUGUGCUCCUUUGGAGAGCUCCAUCAAAGUUUAUUUUGAUAACAUCCGACACUGGUGGUCUCCAUCCUUUUGGUACAAAAGUUCUAACAUAUAAGCGUUGUCUAACCUCUCCCCAUUCUUUUGUAUGUUUUUUCACCAUUUCCAUUGUUUCUUGAGUCAGUUGAUUUUGUCUUUCAUGCAAGACUCGAUUCCUAGAUGUCCAGAUUGUCCAAAUAGCCCUGAUUAUUAAGCUCCUCUACCCACCUGUUCCAUUCUCCAGUAGUUACACAAUCCCGGAACACAUGUUCAAAAGUUCCGCAACCAUUUUCACAUUUGGGGUAUGUCGUUUCAUUCCCUAGUCUCUUGAAGGCUAGGUUAUUGAGGGUUGGGAUAAAAUUAUUAAACACCCUCCAAUUUGUAAUUUUAAUUUUACUAGGUGCUUCUAUAUGCCAUAAUUUCUGUAAAGAUAUAUGACUCGUUUGUAUUAAUGUCUUGUAUUGCCUUCACUUCUCACUAUAUAUUCCCCGUCGCUUUCCCUCUCCACAUUCCGCACAUUAAUUAUGCAGCAGGCAAAAAGAGAUCGAUUUAUAUAUAAUAACGCAUAGUUCCGUUGAUUUAAAA